rnacentral:hammerhead_ribozyme from 1 species
AUUCAGCUGACAAGUCUCAAAUAGGACAAAACGCGUAUCCUGGAU